UUGACCUCGGAUCAGGUAGGAUUACCCGCUGAACUUAAGCAUAUCAAUAAGCGGAGGAAAAGAAACCAACAGGGAUUGCCCCAGUAACGGCGAGUGAAGCGGCAACAGCUCAAAUUUGAAAUCUGGCCUUCGGGUCCGAGUUGUAAUUUGGAGAGGAUGCUUUUGGCGCGGCGCCGUCCGAGUUCCUUGGAACAGGACGCCAUAGAGGGUGAGAGCCCCGUACGGGCGGCCGCCUAGCCUUUGUAAAGCUCCUUCGACGAGUCGAGUAGUUUGGGAAUGCUGCUCAAAAUGGGAGGUAAAUUUCUUCUAAAGCUAAAUACCGGCCAGAGACCGAUAGCGCACAAGUAGAGUGAUCGAAAGAUGAAAAGCACUUUGAAAAGAGGGUUAAAAAGUACGUGAAAUUGUUGAAAGGGAAGCGCCUGUGACCAGACUUGCGACCCGUGGAUCAUCCAGUGUUCUUCACCGGUGCACUCCGCGGGCUGCAGGCCAGCAUCGGUUUUCCUAGGGGGAUAAAGGUCGCAGGAACGUAGCUCUUUCGGGAGUGUUAUAGCCUGUGGCGUCAUGCCUCUGGGGAGACCGAGGACCGCGCUUCGGCAAGGAUGCUGGCGUAAUGGUCACCGGCGACCCGUCUUGAAACACGGACC
rnacentral:rRNA from 1 species